UGCCUGAGGGUAAAUUACAUACUCAAAUUAAUAAUUAAUUAAUUAAUUAUUCUAUAAUUCCACGUUGGCAAUGUGUGGCGCAUAUUUCAAACGAGGCCCUUUGAAUAAAGUGUGCGUAGCCCAAUUGGGCGGGAAAUCAUAGAGAUACAAAACACUGCAAGGCGGCAAAUUUUUAUCAAUUUCACAGUAAGAGUUGCACAAAAAAAAUGUUGGGCGGCAAAAAGCUUCCGUUCUCUCCGCCAUGUUCCGGCGAGAAAUCUCCAAAGGUCUCGGUGCUCUCAAUGCUUAAUGCAAGGUACAGUUGUAAUCUUCUUAUAAGUUAAAACAAUGUGAGAAGGACCUGUUUCGGAAGAAUGGCUCAAUUAUGAGCAUUACAUUAAGAAAUUAAGAAAUUUACAGACUUGUUAACCAUGUACAUUCUACAUGAUCAUACGUUACAUGCUCGUAAAGCUGAACUGCACUUUUACACUUCUUUUUUCAAUUGAAACCAAGUUACACUCUUUGAAAAUGGUGCUGCCGGUUAUUGUUUAUCCAAA